rnacentral:rRNA from 2 species
CUGGUGUCAGCCGCCGCGGUAAUACCAGCACCUCGAGUGGUCAGGACGUUUAUUGGGCCUAAAGCAUCCGUAGCCGGCUUUGCAAGUCUUCGGUUAAAUCCACCUGCUCAACAGAUGGGCUGCUGGAGAUACUACAAAGCUAGGGAGUGGGAGAGGCAGACGGUAUUCAGUGGGUAGGGGUAAAAUCCUCUGAUCCAUUGAGGACCACCAGUGGCGAAGGCGGUCUGCCAGAACACGUUCGACGGUGAGGGAUGAAAGCUGGGGGAGCAAACCGGAUUAGAUACCCGGGUAGUCCCAGCUGUAAACGAUGCAAACUCGGUGAUGCAUUGGCUUAUGGCCAAUGCAGUGCCGCAGGGAAGCCGUUAAGUUUGCCGCCUGGGAAGUACGGACGCAAGUCUGAAACUUAAAGGAAUUGGCGGGGGAGCACCACAAGGGGUGAAGCCUGCGGUUCAAUUGGAGUCAACGCCAGGAAUCUUACCCGGGGAGACAGCAGAAUGAAGGUCAAGCUGAAGACUUUACCAGACAAACU